ensembl:processed_transcript Foxl2os forkhead box L2, opposite strand
AAACCAGCUCAGAGCUCGUGUCACGGAAGGCAGAAGCUUCGGCCUGCUCUGUCCCUCGAGCUCUCUGAGCCCAAUUGAGGCUGGGGAGAGGAUCGCUGGGAAGAGACACCCAGGAGUACCGCUCACUGGCAUCGGACGUUUCGCUUCUCUGUGCUGAGGUGGAUGUAGGGACCAGCUUUCUCCUUGGAACUCGCCUUGCAAUCCCACAAUUUGGGUGUGUGUUUUAAAGAUCAAGUGGUAUCCCUUGUACUCUGGCUUGGACACAGACGAGGAUGUUGCUGAGGGGCUUUGGGGACUGUUGCGUGCACAAGUGUCACGCGUGGAAGGCACGGGGCAAAAAUCUGUUCUUAAAGACACACGUGAUACUGCGCAAGUGUGCUGUUCAGAAACCCAGCCGUUACCUGCAUCUUCUCCUUCCAGCAUAGAUAAUAGCCGAAGUCUGGUGGGGAUCCAGUUACAUCUCCGAAAAUAGAAAACGGACUUAGAGGAAUUCCUUCCGUGCCAGCACAACAUCAGGUGUGCCCUGUCACUCAGCCUUAACACAGGUUUGCAGUCUUGGAAGUGUGAGAGAGGCUGAGGAAGAGUGAUCAGACACGUUGUGAAGGAUAAUGGUCUGAAUGAAUGAUGUGUGCCAGUCACACAUCUAGGUGGCUAUCCCAGUGCCUGUUUCUA